rnacentral:rRNA from 1 species
AGUAAUGCUUGGGAAUCUAGCUUAUGGAGGGGGAUAACUACGGGAAACUGUAGCUAAUACCGCGUAGAAUCGAGAGAUGAAAGUGUGGGACCUCCGGGCCACAUGCCAUAGGAUGAGCCCAAGUGGGAUUAGGUAGUUGGUGAGGUAAAGGCUCACCAAGCCGACGAUCUCUAGCUGGUCUGAGAGGAUGACCAGCCACACUGGGACUGAGACACGGCCCAG